rnacentral:tRNA from 1 species
GCCGAAAUAGCUAAGUUGGGAGAGUGUUAGACUGAAGAUCUAAAGGUCCCUGGUUCGAUCCCGGGUUUCGGCA